CAGACCAGAGAGGAAGAAGAUGGAAGACAGAAGAUGGAAGAAUAGGACUGCCGCCAUGAAGAGGACCGCCCUGGAGGACCACCGGCAUGAAGAAAGAAGCACCGCCUGAGUCCAGUUGGGAAGGAGGGAGUGUCUGCUCUUCUUAUUUCCUCAGCCCCUUUAACUGUGUUCCAGCCAAACCUCAUCAACAGAGCUAAACUGUCAGCUUCUAAGUGCUUUGUGUUGUUGCCAGCAUUUCAUGAAAGAGAUGGAGAACAAGAUUGCAGUCUUCUAGAUAUGAAGGGGGCCCCCAGGUUGACAACAUGUGGCUGUCAUCUACACGCCAUGGCAAAUGCUUAUGCCAUCAACGGGUCACUAUUGUGUCCAAAAGAAAACUGUUAAGGGACGCUAAAAAAUUAAAACGAUCUAUGAAAAUA